rnacentral:lncRNA from 1 species
ACAACAACAACAACCUUUUUUUUUAAAUUACCCGGGCGUGGUGGCGCACACCUGCAGCCUGAGCGACAAAGCAAGACCCUGUCUCAAAAUAAAAUAAAAUAAAAUAACAUAAAAUAAAGUACAUUAUGCUACGGAGGCCGCUAAAAAGAACAUGGCUUCUGUCAUACAGGAGCUUAUGGUCUCAUGGAGAGGCACUGUGAGAGUUCAGAGACAACAGCUCAAAGACAGGGUGGGGGCUUGAGAAAACUUAGCAGAGAAGGGCCGGCAAGGCCGGGGCCAGCUUGCGGCGAGGGCGGGAGGCGGCGCUGGCGGGAGGGGAGAGAGAGGGAUGGGGACUGAGUGGGCACCGCAGCUGACCCCUGGAGUAGCUGCGAUUAUGG